GCUUAACGCGAAGAACCUUACCAGGACUUGACAUGGAGGGGACCGGACGAGAGAUCGUUCUUCUUCCGCAAGGAAGCCCCUCACACAGGUGCUGCAUAGCUGUCGUCAGCUCGUGUCGUGAGAUGUUGGGUUAAGUCCCGCAACGAGCGCAACCCUCGUUUUUAGUUGCCAUCAUUCAGUUGGGCACUCUAAAGAGACUGCCGCGAAUAACGCGGAGGAAGGUGGGGACGACGUCAAGUCAUCAUGGCCCUUACGUCCUGGGCUACACACGUGCUACAAUGGGCGUCACAGAGGGUCGCAAGAGCGCAAGCUGGAGCCAAUCCCCAAAAACGUCCUCAGUUCAGAUCGAGGUCUGCAACCCGACCUCGUGAAGGUGGAAUCGCUAGUAAUCGCGGAUCAGAACGCCGCGGUGAAUACGUUCCCGGGUCUUGUACACACCG
rnacentral:rRNA from 1 species